ACAGCAGCCGCCGCGGUAAUACGGAGGGUGCGAGCGUUAAUCGGAUUUACUGGGCGUAAAGCGCGCGUAGGCGGCUUCUUAAGUCGGAUGUGAAAUCCCUGAGCUUAACUUAGGAAUUGCAUUCGAUACUGGGAAGCUAGAGUAUGGGAGAGGAUGGUAGAAUUCCAGGUGUAGCGGUGAAAUGCGUAGAGAUCUGGAGGAAUACCGAUGGCGAAGGCAGCCAUCUGGCCUAAUACUGACGCUGAGGUACGAAAGCAUGGGGAGCAAACAGGAUUAGAUACCCCUGUAGUCCCUGUCUCUUAUAC
rnacentral:rRNA from 1 species